rnacentral:lncRNA from 1 species
GUGGAUCUUAGCAGGUCUGGUCAGUACCAUCAAAAUGUAGAAAGCGGUACAUAUUCUUAUAUACUGACUAUAGGAAGAUUUCAUGAUGUAAAACUUGUUCCAAAUUUAAGGUAAAGGUGUUCUGCAUUUCCCAACUUUCCUUGAAUUUGAUACGGAUAUAUGACAGAGUUCUAGCCAACUAAGUAGGAGUGUGGAGCUAUUUCCAGGGCUGGCUCACUAAAACUUCCAUAAACAAUCUUCCAUAUUCUUUUCACAUCUGCAUCCUUUAGCCAGAUAAGCCCAAAGAUCUCGAAAGACACCUUUGAAAAUGAUGGAACCAUAAGAUGGAAUAAAU